AGAAGGUGCAAGCGUUACUCGGAAUUACUGGGCGUAAAGCGUCUGUAGGUUUUUUACCACGUCUGGCGUGAAAUUUCGGGGCUCAACCCCGUCCCCACGCUGGAGACGAGUCGGAUAGAGUCAUUCAGGGGCAUCUGGAAUGUCGUGUGUAGGGGUAAAAUCCGUAGAUACACGAUGGAACGCCAAAAGUGAAGACAGGAUGCUAGGAAUGUACUGACACUCAGAGACGAAAGCGUGGGGAGCAAAGGGGAUUAGAUACCCCCGUAGUCCACGCCCUAAACGAUGCGAGCUCGGUGUGGGACUUUCAAUCAAGUCCCGUGCCCUAACUUACGCGGUAAGCUCGCCGCCUGGGAAGUACGGCCGCAAGGCUA
rnacentral:rRNA from 1 species